UAGGGAAUAUUGCGCAAUGGACGAAAGUCUGACGCAGCCACGCCGCGUGAGUGAGGAAGGCCUUCGGGUUGUAAAGCUCUGUCGCCUGGGAAAAACGGCUAUCCGGGGAAAGUUCGGGUAGCGUGAUGGUACCAGGAAAGGAAGCACCGGCAAACUCUGUGCCAGCAGCCGCGGUAAUACAGAGGGUGCAAGCGUUGUUCGGAAUUACUGGGCGUAAAGCGUGCGUAGUCGGUAUUGAGAGUCGCGGGUGAAAUCCCAGGGCUUAACCCUGGAACUGCCUGCGAGACCUCAGUACUAGAGUGUGAGAGGGGAUAGUGGAAUACCCAGUGUAGCGGUGAAAUGCGUAGAUAUUGGGAAGAACACCAGUGGCGAAGGCGGCCACCUGGACUGAUACUGACACUGAGGUGCGAAAGCGUGGGGAGCAAACAGGAUUAGAUACCCCCGUAGUCCCUGAGCGGGCUGGCAAGGCGCAU
rnacentral:rRNA from 1 species